UACGGGGGGGGCAAGCGUUGUUCGGAUUCAUUGGGCGUAAAGGGUGCGUAGGCGGCGCGGUAAGUCGGGUGUGAAAUCUCGGAGCUUAACUCCGAAACUGCAUUCGAUACUGCCGUGCUGGAGGACUGGAGAGGAGACUGGAAUUUACGGUGUAGCGGUGAAAUGCGUAGAUAUCGUAAGGAAGACCAGUGGCGAAGGCGGGUCUCUGGACAGUUCCUGACGCUGAGGCACGAAGGCCAGGGGAGCAAACGGG
rnacentral:rRNA from 1 species